AUUGAACGCUGGCGGCAUGCUUUACACAUGCAAGUCGAACGGCAGCACGGGUGCUUGCACCUGGUGGCGAGUGGCGGACGGGUGAGUAAUGCAUCGGAACGUGUCCUUAAGUGGGGGAUAACGCAUCGAAAGAUGUGCUAAUACCGCAUAAUCUCUGAGGAGAAAAGCAGGGGAUCUUAGGACCUUGUGCUUUUGGAGCGGCCGAUGCCUGAUUAGCUAGUUGGUAGGGUAAAGGCCUACCAAGGCUUCGAUCAGUAGUUGGUCUGAGAGGACGACCAGCCACACUGGGACUGAGACACGGCCCAG
rnacentral:rRNA from 1 species